rnacentral:lncRNA from 1 species
CGUGGGAAAGGCUGCGUUAGAUCGGUCAUCUUAGAGCACUGAGGAAAAGUAACUGCAAGUUACAUUUCCCUCCCGGUGCAGGUGCCGAGUAGCUACCUGAUUGGGACCUCUUUAGGAUGCAGUAGAGGCAGGCUACCAGCAGAGGGGGCUUCAGGCUCAGCCUGGGAGCCCGGCUAUGUCCAGUUGGAGAAAGGUAAUGGUUUCAGAGAGCCAGGCCUUGGCACACUGGACCAACUUUAUCAGAAUGCCCUUUGGCUGGAGCCCAACGCUUGCUCAACACCAAGAGCUACCUGUUAACCGCUGAUGGAACGUGCUGGCCAUGCCCACCGAGAGCAACGGAAAGAAGCAAGUGUUGGCUGGCUCCAAAGAGAUGAAGACUACCCUUCAACUACUCCAGGGCCUGAAGCUGCUUGGGGCCUAGAAUUCUCCAUGGCAUGUAUAAGCCACCUGGACUGCCUUUUCCCUGUCUGCCUCUUGCCCUUCUUGUGGGCCAUCCCAGGCCUCUCCAUAAAUCCAGGCUGUUCUCGUACUUACAAGCGAGCGAAGGCCAGGGCCAAGUGAUCACCCGCCUCUUCUCUCUGU